GACGAACGCUGGCGGCGUGCCUAACACAUGCAAGUCGAGCGAAUGAAGUUCCUUCGGGAAUGGAUUUAGCGGCGGACGGGAGAGUAACACGUGGGCAACCUGCCUCAUAGAGGGGAAUAGCCUUCCGAAAGGGAGAUUAAUACCGCAUAAGAUUGUAGUACCGCAUGAUACAGCAAUUAAAGGAGCAAUCCGCUAUGAGAUGGGCCCGCGGCGCAUUAGCUAGUUGGUGAGGUAACGGCUCACCAAGGCGACGAUGCGUAGCCGACCUGAGAGGGCGAUCGGCCACAUUGGGACUGAGACACGGCCCAGACUCCUACGGGAGGCAGCAGUGGGGAAUAUUUGGCAAUGGGUGAAAGCCUGACCAAGCAAUGCCGCGUGGAGGAAGAAGGCCUUUGGGUUGUAAUCUCCUUUUCUCAAUGAAGAAGUUCUGACGGUAUUUGAGGAAUAAGCAUCGGCUAAUUCUGUGCCAGCCGCCGCCGUAACAC
rnacentral:rRNA from 1 species